GACGAACGCUGGCGGCGUGCCUAACACAUGCAAGUCGAACGGCAGCACGGGAGCAAUCCUGGUGGCGAGUGGCGAACGGGUGAGUAAUACAUCGGAACGUGCCCGAUCGUGGGGGAUAACUACUCGAAAGAGUAGCUAAUACCGCAUACGAUCUACGGAUGAAAGCGGGGGAUCGCAAGACCUCGCGCGGACGGAGCGGCCGAUGGCAGAUUAGGUAGUUGGUGGGAUAAAAGCUUACCAAGCCGACGACCUGUAGCUGGUCUGAGAGGACGACCAGCCACACUGGGACUGAGACACGGUCCAG
rnacentral:rRNA from 1 species